rnacentral:rRNA from 1 species
UACGUAGGGUCCGAGCGUUGUCCGGAAUUACUGGGCGUAAAGAGCUCGUAGGUGGUUUGUCGCGUUGUUCGUGAAAACUCACAGCUCAACUGUGGGCGUGCGGGCGAUACGGGCAGACUAGAGUACUGCAGGGGAGACUGGAAUUCCUGGUGUAGCGGUGGAAUGCGCAGAUAUCAGGAGGAACACCAAUGGCGAAGGCAGCUCUCUGGUACAUGAUUGACGCUGAGACGCGAAAGCGUGGGGAGCGAACAGG